ensembl:snRNA U4 U4 spliceosomal RNA
AGCUUUGUGCAGUGGCAAUAUCGUAGCCAAUGAGGUGUACCCGAGGCGCGAUUAUUGCUAAUUGAAAAAAAAAAAAAGCGCAUAGAGAGCCUCAUCUUUCUCCUGAGGAGUGGCUAGUGGUUUCAAACUGCUGACCUUGCAG